rnacentral:rRNA from 1 species
GUGGGGAAUAUUGGGCAAUGGGCGCAAGCCUGACCCAGCAACGCCGCGUGAAGGAAGAAGGCUUUCGGGUUGUAAACUUCUUUUACCAGGGACGAAACAAAUGACGGUACCUGGUGAAUAAGCCACGGCUAACUACGUGCCAGCAGCCGCGGUAAUACGUAGGUGGCGAGCGUUAUCCGGAUUUAUUGGGUGUAAAGGGCGUGUAGGCGGGACAGCAAGUCAGAUGUGAAAACCAGAGGCUCAACCUCUGGCCUGCAUUUGAAACUGUUGUUCUUGAGUGUCGGAGAGGUAAUCGGAAUUCCGUGUGUAGCGGUGAAAGGCGUAGAUAUACGGAGGAACACCAGUGGCGAAGGCGGAUUACUGGACGAUAACUGACGCUGAGGCGCGAAAGCGUGGGGAGCAAACAGGAUUAGAAACCCCGGUAGUCC